rnacentral:rRNA from 1 species
AUGCACGCUGGCGGCGUGCCUAAUCCAUGCAAGUCGAGCGAACGGACGAGAAGCUUGCUUUUCUGAUGUUAGCGGCGGACGGGUGAGUAACACGUGGAUAACCUACCUAUAAGACUGGGAUAACUUCGGGAAACCGGAGCUAAUACCGGAUAAUAUUUUGAACCGCAUGGUUCAUAAGUGAAAGACGGUCUUGCUGUCACUUAUAGAUGGAUCCGCGCUGCAUUAGCUAGUUGGUAAGGUAACGGCUUACCAAGGCAACGAUGCAUAGCCGACCUGAGAGGGUGAUCGGCCACACUGGAACUGAGACACGGUCCAGACUCCUACGGGAGGCAGCAGUAGGGAAUCUUCCGCAAUGGGCGAAAGCCUGACGGAGCAACGCCGCGUGAGUGAUGAAGGUCUUCGGAUCGUAAAACUCUGUUAUUAGGGAAGAACAUAUGUGUAAGUAACUGUGCACAUCUUGACGGUACCUAAUCAGAAAGCCACGGCUAACUACGUG